rnacentral:lncRNA from 1 species
CCCUGGCCGGCCCCCAGCGGGCUACUCUCCUGAGAGCCCACUGCGCCUGCUCAGUAACCCAGGGGGCUCCCCAUCACCUGGAGUUCCCCAACCGUUUGGAUGCCCCCUGGCACUCAGCCAGCUCCAGCCCCACCCGAGAGGCGGAGAAGACCCCAGGAGGGCUGCAGCCAGGGCCAAGCUUGAGGGGACGCGGGCACACCCAGAGAUGCACAUCCCAGCGCCUCCCUUCCGCGGCCGAGGACCCCACCGCCCUCACCACUGGGGGAGACGACGGCAGACGAGGCAGAAAUGACGCAGACGUG